GACGAACGCUGGCGGCGUGCUUAACACAUGCAAGUCGAACGGAAAGGCCCUGCUUUUGUGGGGUUCUCGAGUGGCGAACGGGUGAGUAACACGUGAGUAACCUGCCCUUGACAUUGGGAUAACUUCAGGAGACUGGGGCUAAUACCGGAUAGGAGCUCCUGCUGCAUGGGGGGGAAUGGAAAGAUUCGGCGGUUGGGGAUGGACUCGCGGCUUAUCAGCUGGUUGGUGGGGUUGUGGCUUACCAAGGCUUUGACGGGUAGCCGGCCUGAGAGGGUGACCGGCCACAUUGGGACUGAGAUACGGCCCAGACUCCUACGGGAGGCAGCAGUGGGGAAUAUUGCACAAUGGGCGGAAGCCUGAUGCAGCAACGCCGCGUGCGGGAUGACGGCUUUCGGGUUGUAAACCGCUUUCGCCUGUGACGAAGCGUGAGUGACGGUAAUGGGUAAAGAAGCACCGGCUAACUACGUG
rnacentral:rRNA from 1 species